rnacentral:rRNA from 1 species
GAGUAACGCGUAUGCAACUUACCUAUCAGAGGGGGAUAACCCGGCGAAAGUCGGACUAAUACCGCAUGAAGCAGGGGCCCCGCAUGGGGAUAUUUGCUAAAGAUUCAUCGCUGAUAGAUAGGCAUGCGUUCCAUUAGGCAGUUGGCGGGGUAACGGCCCACCAAACCGACGAUGGAUAGGGGUUCUGAGAGGAAGGUCCCCCACAUUGGUACUGAGACACGGACCAAACUCCUACGGGAGGCAGCAGUGAGGAAUAUUGGUCAAUGGGCGUAAGCCUGAACCAGCCAAGUCGCGUGAGGGAUGAAGGUUCUAUGGAUCGUAAACCUCUUUUAUAAGGGAAUAAAGUGCGGGACGUGUCCCGUUUUGUAUGUACCUUAUGAAUAAGGAUCGGCUAACUCCGUGCCAGCAGCCGCGGUAAUACGGAGGAUCCGAGCGUUAUCCGGAUUUAUUGGGUUUAAAGGGUGCGUAGGCGGCCUUUUAAGUCAGCGGUGAAAGUCUGUGGCUCAACCAUAGAAUUGCCGUUGAAACUGGGGGGCUUGAGUAUGUUUGAGGCAGGCGGAAUGCGUGGUGUAGCGGUGAAAUGCAUAGAUAUCACGCAGAACCCCGAUUGCGAAGGCAGCCUGCCAAGCCAUUACUGACGCUGAUGCACGAAAGCGUGGGGAUCAAACAGGAUUAGAUACCCUGGUAGUCCACGCAGUAAACGAUGAUCACUAGCUGUUUGCGAUACACUGUAA